CUUCUGCAGUGACCCAACACGCCACUGCCCCAACACCACAUUCCUGCACUAACUCAAAACCCCACUUCUGACCCAAUAGCCCACUCCAAACCACUCUACGCUGCCCCAACACCCCACUCACCCAACACCCCAAUCCAGCACCGCCACAACACCCCACUGAUACAACACCCCACUCCACACCAGCACCCCACAGCAAACCACUCCAGCACUGCCCCAACACUCCACUCCACACCGGCACCCCACAGCAAACCGCUUUACACUGCACGAAUGCCCCUCUCCACACUGCACCAACACCCCACAUUGCUAUGCCCCAACAACCUACCAUGGUACAGUUUGAGUGUCAGGUUUGAGCAGUUACUGAGCACCCAGCUGUAUAAUAGAGUGUAUGCUGUUUGCACACAGGUGAGUGAAAGUCGAAACAGGUUUGUGCAGGUCAGGCCAGAUCAAUGCAAAAGAGCACAGGUAAAUGCAGGUGACUAAGUGCAUUAUGGCUUUGUGCAGGACGGUUGUAGUAAGUGACUGAGUGCAUUAUCACUGUGUGCAGGACGGUUGUAGGUAGAUGACUGAGUGCAUUAUCACUGUGCAGGGCGGUUGUAGAUAGAUGACUGAGUGCAUUAUCACUGUGUGCAGGACGGUUGUAGGUAGAUGACUGAGUGCAUUAUCACUGUGUGCAGGAUGGUUGUAGGUAGAUGACUGAGUGCAUUAUCACUGUGUGCAGGACGGUUGUAGGUAGAUGACUGAGUGCAUUAUCACUGUGUGCAGGACGGUUGUAGGUAGAUGACUGAGUGCAUUAUCACUGUGUGCAGGACGGUUGUAGGUAGAUGACUGAGUGCAUUAUCACUGUGUGCAGGACGGUUGUAGGUAGGUGACUGAGUGCAUUAUCACUGUGUGCAGGACGGUUGUAGGUAGAUGACUGAGUGCAUUAUCACUGUGUGCAGGACGGUUGUAGGUAGGUGACUGAGUGCAUUAUCACUGUGUGCAGGGCGGUUGUAGGUAGAUGACUGAGUGCAUUAUCACUGUGUGCAGGACGGUUGUAGGUAGAUGACUGAGUGCAUUAUCACUGUGCAGGACGGUUGUAGUAAGUGACUGAGUGCAUUAUCACUGUGUGCAGGGCGGUUGUAGGUAGAUGACUGAGUGCAUUAUCACUGUGUGCAGGGCUGUUGUAGAUAGGUGACUGAGUGCAUUAUCACUGUGCAGGGCGGUUGUAGGUAGAUGACAGUGCAUUAUCACUGUGUGCAGGACGGUUGUAGGUAGAUGACUGAGUGCAUUAUCACUGCAGGGCGGUUGUAGAUAGAUGACAGUGCAUUAUCACUGUGUGCAGGACGGUAGUAGGUAGGUGACUGAGUGCAUUAUCACUGUGUGCAGGACGGUUGAAGAUAGAUGACUGAGUGCAUUAUCACUGUGUGCAGGACGGUUGUAGGUAGGUGACUGAGUGCAUUAUCACUGUGUGCAGGAUGGUUGUAGAUGACUGAGUGCAUUAUCACUGUGCAGGGCGGGUGUAGGUAGAUGACUGAGUGCAUUAUCACUGUGUGCAGGAUGGUUGUAGGUAGAUGACUGAGUGCAUUAUCACUGUGUGCAGGACGGUUGUAGGUAGGUGACUGAGUGCAUUAUCACUGUGUGCAGGACGGUUGUAGGUAGAUGACUGAGUGCAUUAUCACUGUGUGCAGGACGAUUGUAGGUAGGUGACUGAGUGCAUUAUGACUGUGCAGGGCGGUUGUAGAUAGAUGACUGAGUGCAUUAUCACUGUGCAGGACGGUUGUAGGUAGAUGACUGAGUGCAUUAUCACUGUGCAGGACGGUUGUAGGUAGGUGACUGAGUGCAUUAUCACUGUGUGCAGGACGGUUGUAGAUAGAUGACAGUGCAUUAUCACUGUGUGCAGGACGGUUGUAGGUAGAUGACUGAGUGCAUUAUCACUGUGCAGGACGGUUGUAGGUAGAUGACUGAGUGCAUUAUCACUGUGCAGGACGGUUGUAGGUAGAUGACUGAGUGCAUUAUCACUGUGCAGGACGGUUGUAGGUAGGUGACUGAGUGCAUUAUCACUGUGUGCAGGACGGUUGUAGAUAGAUGACAGUGCAUUAUCACUGUGUGCAGGACGGUUGUAGUAAGUGGCUGAGUGCAUUAUCACUGUGUGCAGGACAGUUGUAGGUAGGUGACUGAGUGCAUUAUCACUGUGUGCAGGACGGUUGUAGGUAGGUGACUGAGUGCAUUAUCACUGUGUGCAGGACGGUUGUAGGUAGGUGACUGAGUGCAUUAUCACUGUGUGCAGGACGGUUGAAGAUAGAUGACUGAGUGCAUUAUCACUGUGUGCAGGACGGUUGUAGGUAGGUGACUGAGUGCAUUAUCACUGUGCAGGACGGUUGUAGGUAGAUGACUGAGUGCAUUAUCACUGUGUGCAGGGCGGUUGUAGAUAGAUGACUGAGUGCAUUAUCACUGUGUGCAGGACGGUUGUAGAUAGAUGACUGAGUGCAUUAUCACUGUGCAGGGCGGUUGUAGGUAGGUGACUGAGUGCAUUAUCACUGUGCAGGACGGUUGUAGUAAGUGACUGAGUGCAUUAUCACUGUGCAGGACGGUUGUAGGUAGGUGACUGAGUGCAUUAUCACUGUGCAGGACGGUUGUAGUAAGUGACUGAGUGCAUUAUCACUGUGCAGGACGGUUGUAGGUAGGUGACUGAGUGCAUUAUCACUGUGUGCAGGACGGUUGUAGUAAGUGACUGAGUGCAUUAUCACUGUGUGCAGGGCGGUUGUAGUAAGUGACUGAGUGC